rnacentral:miRNA from 1 species
GUUAGCUCAGUUGGUUGGAGCGAGGUGCUAAUGUUGCCAAGGUCAUGGGUUUGAUCCCUUUAUGGGCCAAUGGAGACCCUUCUGGCC